CCCCUCAAGGCCUGCAGGCAAACAGGCCUAUUAGGUCACAGCAAGGCUGGGGUUAAUGGCAUCCAUCCAACUGCAUUCUUCUCUCUAGAUGAGUGUUUCAAGGUCUCCAAGGGACAGCAGAGAUGAAUCCUAUGAAGGCCGCAUUCCUGCCACCUCCCUGCUGGGGCCAGCUGUCAAGCAGGCAGUUUCAUCCUCCACCCCCUGGAGCCUCCCUUUCCUUCUUUGGAAAAGCACAAAACUUCAAGGGCAUCUCAUGGAGGCCGAGCCACCCCAACCAACCCUCCUCCCCAUCAAACUUCAGGAUGUUACCUGCUUUGCACCAUUAUCAGCACUCACCCUCCCACACAACCUCCGUCUCAAGAACCUAAAAAGAAAGAAAGAUAAAAGGGGUCCGUGAAGAGUGGAUGAAGAGUUCAAGGAGCCAAGGAUUAAGCUCUGAGCUAGCCCACUCUGCAUCUACUCCUGGGAUAUGUGCUAGCCCUCAGGUCGACACCUUGAACUUCUGGGAGCUCAGGAACGUGGGAUUCAGAGAGGCCAGUUCCACUGGAGACACAGCUCCACACCAGGGAUGCUUAGGGGACAACUUUCCCAAAGACACGGUCCCUGUCUUCUAGGUUCCCGGACUUCACGUGGACCUGGUGCUGCCAGCACAUGCUGAGCAUUCCUGACCUGAAGAUCUAGAACCCACAGCCAUGGGACAGGACUCCAAUGAAAGGCAAUGCUCUGUGUUUGCUUGUUUGCCUGUCUAUUUCUGAGGCAGGCUCCCCUGUCGCCAGGCUGUCCUUGAAUUCACUAUAGAGCAAAGGAUGGUCUUGAACCUCUCAUCCCCCUGCCACAGCCUCCUGAGUGUCAGGAGACUGCUGUGUUUCAAAAAGCAAGAAUAUUUAUUUGCAGACUCCAGCAUAGGUUCAGAGCCUGAGACUUGACCCUGAUUGCAUCCUGUUAUUUGACCUGUAGACCUCACCCCUGUUUGUGCCUGCCCAUCAGUGUCUUCUUAGCAAAGGAAAACCCUCAGUUCCAGGCUGCUCUGAUAGGGAGCUGCGCUUGAGUCUUUGUAUUUUGUUUUUUAAGGAACACAUGUCAGAUGCUUCGUAAAAUGUCAA